UCAAGUGGUUGAGUGGCUGCCCGUCAUUCUACUGCAUUCUUGGUAGGAAGAAGUUGGAUAAAAAUCAAAACUAUGGCACAAAUCAAGUCUGGAAGCAGAUCAGUUUAUAGGAGAAUGAACGGCCUCAACCCAAGAAAUGUGAAAGACAAACACUCGCCUUAAAGGAGAGUCCUUCAACUCAAGACAAGGAAAUAAACUCUAUGCUUUUAUGAAAAAAAGUUUCAGAAGAUGUGAGUAUUUGUGCCCAUAUGAUCUCCCACCAUGAUGUGCCACCACCUACUUGCCCU